rnacentral:rRNA from 1 species
CCUACGGGUGGCUGCAGUGGGGAAUAUUGGACAAUGGGCGAAAGCCUGAUCCAGCCAUGCCGCGUGUGUGAAGAAGGCCUUCGGGUUGUAAAGCACUUUCAGUGGGGAAGAAAGCCUUGGGGCUAAUACCCUCGAGGAAGGACAUCACCCACAGAAGAAGCACCGGCUAACUCCGUGCCAGCAGCCGCGGUAAUACGGAGGGUGCGAGCGAUAAUCGGAAUUACUGGGCGUAAAGCGCGCGUAGGCGGUCUGAUAAGCCGGUUGUGAAAGCCCCGGGCUCAACCUGGGAACGGCAUCCGGAACUGUCAGGCUAGAGUGCAGGAGAGGAAGGUAGAAUUCCCGGUGUAGCGGUGAAAUGCGUAGAGAUCGGGAGGAAUACCAGUGGCGAAGGCGGCCUUCUGGACUGACACUGACGCUGAGGUGCGAAAGCGUGGGUAGCAAACAGGAUUAGAUACCCGUGUAGUC